rnacentral:tRNA from 5 species
GGGGAUAUGGCGGAAUUGGUAGACGCUACGGACUUAAAAUCCGUUGGCUUUAUAGACCGUGAGGGUUCAAGUCCCUCUAUCCCCACC